GACGAACGCUGGCGGCGGGCUUAACACAUGCAAGUCGAACGGAAAGGCCCUGCUUUUGUGGGGUGCUCGAGUGGCGAACGGGUGGGUAACACGUGAGUAACCUGCCCUUGACUUUGGGAUAACUUCAGGAAACUGGGGCUAAUACCGGAUAGGAGCUCCUGCUGCAUGGUGGGGGUUGGACAGUUUCGGCGGUUGGGGAUGGACUCGCGGCUUAUCAGCUUGUUGGUGGGGUAGUGGCUUACCAAGGCUUUGACGGGUAGCCGGCCUGAGAGGGUGACCGGCCACAUUGGGACUGCGAUACGGCGCAGUCUCCUACGGGAGGCAGCAGGGGAGAACAUUGCACAAUGGGCGGAAGCCUGAUGCAGCAACGCCGCGUGCGGGAUGACGGCCUUCUGGUUGUAAACCGCUUUCGCCUGUGACGAAGCGUGAGUGACGGUAAUGGGUAAAGAAGCACCGGCUAACUACGUG
rnacentral:rRNA from 1 species